rnacentral:sRNA from 1 species
GCCCGAAUUGACAUCCUUUAUCUUACCAACU